AUUUGAGCUAACAAUUCUCUGAUCCUACUGCAUUUAUGACUUGACUAUCCAUUGGCCCACGUGGGUAUCUACAGUAGAUUGAUAGCUCUGAGAGUUCUCAUUUGACCUUGUCACUUGGUUCGGUGAUAUUACAAUAGAAGUAGAAACUUUCAGCAGCCUGUAAGUGAGAACGUUUCAGUGGGUGGUUGUUUCCUGAUGCUGUCUCCAAGUUCGGAGGGUGUGGACAUUUGAGUACAGCCCCCCAAGAAAUUAUAUUGAGAAAUCCAGAUGUGCAGUUGUGCAAGAGCAAGCUGGUGUGGAUUUUUGAAUGGAUAUUCUGAAGACAACUAGGUGGAACUGCUUUGAGCUGCUUCUCUGAACAGCCUGUCUGGAGAUGUCCCGGGUGGCUGAAUCACUGCACCUGCUGAGUGACCAGCUGUGUGUCUUUGAGGCUCGUGAAAGCAACAGCCCACAAUUGCCUGCAUUUUCUUUCCUCUUCAAAACCACUUCUGCUCCAAAGACCAUGAACCUGAACUGAAGAAACGACUCCUUCCUGCUGGUGUGAGAUAAUUCAGUCUCCAUGAUGUCUUAAUCCUGGGCCUCCCUUAAUUGACUUCUAACUGUGCUGAACUGUGGCUGCUAGGAGUUGCAAUGUGGAUCGCAAUUUACAAGGAAGAGAAAAAGACCGGUCUCUGUUUGGAAAUUACAAACAUAGAAGAACUUAGAAACAAUGGGUUUCUAGAUUGGGUGGAAGGACUGGCUUGGGAUCCUGAGAGAGCAAGAAAAGUUUACCGGGAGCUUCAGAAAAAGUUAUUCAUCAUUUUUGGAGUGGAUAUUCAGAAGUGACUUCCCUCUUUUGCUCUGGUGCCUGGCUACUUCAAGAGUUGAGCUAAUCACAGGGAAGAUUCAGUCUCAGUUCAGCUGCCUCAUUUGAUCAGCUCAAGACUGAGUCCAACAAAAGUGGUCUGUCUAAUGAAACUCAUUUUCAUUUUUUCUCAUUAGUCUAUACACGAUUGAGACUGUAGAACGACAAAAGAAUAAAAAGAAGAAUGACAAUUAAAAAUCAUUUUCUCUGGCCCUUGAUUUUUGCCUUCUUUUUUUUAAAUGUAGUUACGUGCUCAUUUUUUGUUUCUUUUUUAUUCUCUGCUCUUCUUUUCUAUUGAUUUUCCCAUUUAUGAAGGGGGAAUUAGUAAAUCCAUGGUCUGAGUGCUGAGAUGUUCUGAUAGGCCUUCAAGUUUUCAGCUGUACUCUGAAUCAGAAUAAUAUACUCCAUCAAGGAGACUGACAUUGGCACCACCUUCCCAGAAAUCCAGGAGCGCCUUUGCAUGAGGAAAAGCAGAAGGGAGUAAAGUCAUGAAACAUUGUGUGUGUGUUUGUAUAAAACUGUAUAUUUUUGCUCACAUAUAAUAACUAUAUAUUUCUGCUAAUUUUUCCUUUUAAAGGCUAUUAAGUUACUUAAAAUCCAUUGCCUAAUAAAACUGCAAUUCACCUUUGUAAUUCACUCAUUUGUUUGCUGUCACAGGGAAGAUAGAAAUUGAGCACGUUUUCGGCUGGGUGUGGUGGCUCACGCCUGUAAUCCUAGCACUUGGGGAGGCCGAGGUGGGCGGAUCACGAGGUCAGGAGAUCGAGACCAUCCUGGCUAACAUGGUGAAACCUCGUCUCCACUA
rnacentral:lncRNA from 10 species